rnacentral:rRNA from 1 species
GACAGAGGUGGCAAGCGUUGUUCGGUAUUACUGGGCUUAAAGCGUGUGUAGGCGGAAGCGUAAGCAUCUUGUGAAAUCCCUCGGCUUAACCGGGGAAAUGCUUGAUGAACUGCGUUUCUUGAGGCAGGUAGGGGUGCGAGGAACUCUUGGUGGAGCGGUGGAAUGCGUAGAUAUCAAGAGGAACGCCGGUGGUGAAGACGUCGCACUGGGCCUGUCCUGACGCUGAGACACGAAAGCGUGGGGAGCGAACGGG